GGUGAUUUACCCAAGUGGUCAACGGGGUUGGACUUAAGUUCCAAUGCAAUUAUGCUUCGUGGGUUCGAACCCCACAGUCACCA